rnacentral:rRNA from 1 species
UACGGAGGGUGCAAGCGUUAUCCGGAUUCACUGGGUUAAAGGGUGCGUAGGCGGGUAGGUAAGUCCGUGGUGAAAUCUCUGAGCUUAACUCAGAAACUGCCGUGGAUACUAUUUGCCUUGAAUAUUGUGGAGGUGAGCGGAAUAUGUCAUGUAGCGGUGAAAUGCUUAGAUAUGACAUAGAACACCAAUUGCGAAGGCAGCUCACUACACAAUGAUUGACGCUGAGGCACGAAAGCGUGGGGAUCAAACAGG